rnacentral:sRNA from 1 species
AUGGCUGUCGUCAGCUCGUGUCGUGAGAUGUUGGGUUAAGUCCCGCAACGAGCGCAACCCUUAUCCCAUGUUGCCAGCGGGUUAUGCCGGGGACUCGUGGGAGACUGCCGGUGCCAAACCGGAGGAAGGUGGGGACGACGUCAAGUCAUCAUGCCCCUUACGUCCAGGGCUGCACACGUGCUACAAUGGCCGGCACAAAGGGUUGCUACUCCGCGAGGAGACGCCAAUCCCAAAAAACCGGUCUCAGUUCGGAUCGCAGUCUGCAACUCGACUGCGUGAAGCUGGAGUCGCUAGUAAUCGCAGAUCAGCAUUGCUGCGGUGAAUACGUUCCCGGGCCUUGUACACACCGCCCGUCACACCACGAAAGUUGGUAACGCCCGAAGCCGGUGGCCCAACCCUUUUGGGAGGGAGCCGUCGAAGGUGGGAUCAGCGAUUGGGGUGAAGUCGUAACAAGGUAGCCGUACCGGAAGGUGCGGCUGGAUCACCUCCUUUCUAAGGAGCACAGGGCUACUUCUUUUCGCUAAAGCCGGUUCGCCGGUUUGAAAGGAAGCAGUUCCUACGUCGAGCACUGGCCAGUUACUUCAUCGGCUCGUCCGACCCUGCCAGGUCCCAGCCACCGGUCAUUUCCUUCGGGAAGCGACCCGGCAUGGCACUGGUGGCACCACCGGGCACCGGCGAAGCAGCGCCGCGUCACUGUUCCGUUGUGAAGGAGCGGCUCCAGACCCCCUGGGGCUCUGGCCGACUCCCUCCCUACGAGGCCACGAGUCGUGGAAUCGUCACUUGGCUGCCCCCGGUCCUCGACCGGGAGGCCGGCUGACCGGCGAUGCGGCAGGCCUCGGUCGUCCCUUGAGAGCUGAAGAGCGAGCACGAGCAUCUAGAAAACAGUGCAAGAAGAACUCCCAAGCUAGAAAGAGCCAACGGUGGAUGCCUUGGCGCCAGAUGCCGAUGAAGGACGUGGGUGGCUGCGAAAAGCCACGGGGAGCUGUCUACCAAGCUUCGAUCCGUGGAUAUCCGAAUGGGGAAACCCGG